rnacentral:sRNA from 1 species
UAUAUUUAUAAUUCUUCUAAUAUAACUAGUAGAAUUUGAGGUUUUAUAAAAUAUUUAUUAUAUAUAUUUUCUUAAAUCGUCUUUGGAAUUUUAUAUAUUUUUUUUUAAAUAUUGUAUAUAUUUUCUUAAAUAUUAUAUAAAUUUUCCAUAUUCGUUAUAAAAAGCGUUGCGGCGUUGUUAUUACGUAUUUGCCCGACGAUAUAACAAACACGAUAAUAAAUUAAAAAAAUCCUGCAAUACUUGCACUUAGCAAGUGCCAACCUAAAUUGAUUUAUUUUUCUAUUUUUAAAAUUGUUAGUAUAACAGGUAAUAUACCACCCAUUGCAUUAAUAUAUUAAAAAACGAAAAAAGUUUCAUUUACGUUCAAAAAACAAGAUAUUAACAAAAAUAUUACGGCCGAGGCCGCCAUAAUUACCAAAAGGCCCUUAACCACCGUUUAAACACUGGCGGAAACUUUUAGUAAUUUCACAAUGCAAAUAACACCGUUAAAAUAACGUUAGCAAAUUCUAGAAAAAAUACGCCCUAUUCCGUAUCAAAAUCCGAAAUAAUAAUCGAUAAACGGCGAGCGAAAUUUUAAUAAUUCACGCGACGCCGAAAAGAAAAACAAACAAAUUUUCUUCGGAAAAAAUAAACCAAAUAUUUUAACUUUUUUAACGGAAAAUAAAACGCGAUAAAAAUAUUAAAAAACAAACAAAAACGGAAUGGGAUAUAUUCCAAAAUAUAUUAUAAAUUAUUAACCGGGAAACGACGAAAUAUUCCGUUCCGGAAUUUAUUAUAUAAUAUUAACAAAUAGUAAUAAAAUUGGCCGACGUUAUAACGGAAACCCUAAUUAAAAAAUAACCGGGUUUUAUAAUUGGCAAUAUUUUACCUACAAUUAAUAGAAAUAAUAGAAAAGAAUAAUAUUCCCGGGAUAUUAAUAAAAUCGCAACAUAUUAUAAAAAUUAACGGAUUAAAAAUAAUAUUAAACCCAAUUUACGUAAGUUUAAACAGUUCGGCUAAUAAACAAAUAAUGCAAUUUAAACCAAAACCCAAAAAGGUAUAAAAGAAAUACCCAAACGCCACCAAAAAAACCGAUACAAAAAUACUAUUAAAAUUUACGUUCCAAAAUAAUACGAAAAGAAUAUACAAAAUUAUACGGCCGCGAUUAUACGUAAAACGGUAACGGAAAAACCUUAAUUUUGCCCGGAAAAUAUCCAAAAAAACACGGUAAUAACCACAAAUUACGCAAUACGAAACAAAAAUGUAAUUAUAUAAAGAAUAAUAUUCGAAAAUAAAAAGAAUAAUCGCGAAAUUGGGGGAAUUAAAAUUUGAUAAAAUAAAAACGCCGGUGGAAUAAUAUAUAUACCUGAUUAAAAAUAUACCGGUACAUUACCGCACGGUAAAAAACAAUUAGGCCGAAACGUCGGAAAUAUUUAAAAAUAAAAUUAAAUAUU